CGUGUUUCCUGAGAACGAUGGUGAUGAGCAUUUUCAAACCUAAUUUGUGAAUGAAUAGUUGGACAAAAAUAUUCUUCUAAUUUUUGAAUAUAUUUAUUUGAAAACAUAGCAAAGGUUAACAAAUCACAUCUAGUUGUACAUUUAUAUUACAUUGAUUGUGUUUACUAAGAAAAAUGAACUUUAAAAAACUAGGAAUAUAGGAGAUUUAUGGAGAGUCAUUCAUUCAAUACUUUGUAUCUGCUAUAUGUAGGGAGUUAUGAUAGGGACUGGGAAUACAAAUAAAUUCCAGCUAACUUUGGCUAAUGGAUGGAUCAGCAUGAUAUAGAGAAGAGAGAAUUUGGAGUGCUUAUUUGUAUCUCCUUUAUGCUGCCAGGGCAUGGUUUUGGAAGUGUCUGUAUCCCUCCACCUACAGCCACAGCUACUCUCUGUCUUUCUCAGUCUCAGCUAUUAGCUAUUACUAGGUUCCAAUAUCAUGAUUCUUCCUUGCCUUUCAGGUCUAGGGGUGGUAAUCCAAUUAGCAAUUUCCACCAUUGCUCAUCUCUGCCAUACCUCAUUUACUACUAAUCAUGGCAACACCUCUAAAUACUCCCUUCAUUAAACUAUAUGAAAUCGAUCAUUUAAAAUAUACCACUUCAAGCAGACAUUGCUCAAGAUUUACAUUAGCCCUCGCUGGGCACAGUGGUGUGUACCUGUAGUCCUAGCUACUCGGGAAGCUGAAGCAGGGGGAUCACUUGAACCCAGGAGUUCAGGUCCAGCCUGAGCAAGAAAGCAAGGUUCUAAAGGGGGAAAAGCAAGGUUAAAAAAAAUAUACAUUAGUCCCGUCAUACAAUUAAAUUAUACACUUGAAUUGGAAACUGAUCUGCUAGAAGGUGUACCGUUUCAGGGGAAACGCAAAGGAGAGUUACAGAACAUGUCCUAGGCUAGCCAAAUCAAGAAUUGGCUCAGAAAGUGUAAUGAUUGAAUUGACACUUGAGGAUGAGUAGGACUUCAUGGGUGUUUGAAAGGGGAGGGGACAAAUUGGAAAAGGCAUGAAAGUCAGAGAAACAGAAUCAUAUUCACGGAGCUACAUGUAGUAUCCUAUUUGGGAGGCAUAAACUGGAAGGGUUGGGAAUGGGGUGGUGAAGGAGCACAACAGAUGAAGCCAGAGAGAAAGGGGCUUCAGAAAAUGGAGGGUGUUGUAAGGAACAGUGUCUUUUUUUUUUUUUUUUUUUUUUUUGAGAUUGAGUUUCACUCUUGUAGCCUAGGCUAGAGUGCAAUGGCGCGACCUUGGCUAACUGCAACCUCCACCUCCUGGGUUCAAGCGAUCUUCCUGCCUCAGCCUCCCGAGUAGCUGGGAUUACAGGCGCCCACCACCACGCCUGGUUAAUUUUUGUAUUUUAGUAGAGAUGGGGUUUCAUUAUGUUGACCAGGCGUCUUAUAUGUCUUCCGAAGAAGAAGAAGAAAAAACUUCUAGUGUGAACAAUCAGCUUUUUUGGGUGUCUGUGUUUUUUCCUACCCAUUAAUGAUUCUCUUUCUUCUGGUGACAAGUUGUCACGAUUUUCCUCUGAGGAACAGGCCCUUCUUUGGUAUCACUGCAUGUGAGGAUUUGGAACAUCCCCAUAGCAUGAAGUGGCAUUGGCUUUCUGAUUUCUGCUUCUAGAUCAUCAGGGACAGUAGAAGACUGGAGUCAAAUGUAAGAUGCAUGAAUGAUUAAUAAUACUCUUUCAAAUGUAUUCAUUAACUAAAAGACCAAUCCUGGUUUGAGACAUGUUCAAACAGGAACACAAAGUCUUAGAAUCAGGAAAAUAUACUAUCUACUCUCUGCUCCAAAGGAGGAAAGUAUGCUUCAUUUUGUUGUUGUCUCAACUCAGUUCUUUGGCAUAUUAGGUACUGAAAAAAAAAUUGUUUAAUGUAACUAGUGAAUUAUAAAAUACAAAUAAUAGUCUUUCUAAUCUUCUUGGAUAAAUAAUAUAAAAUAGAAUUCUUUAAA
rnacentral:lncRNA from 1 species